rnacentral:rRNA from 1 species
GCGGACGGCUCAGUAACACGUAGUCAACCUAACUCGUGGACGUGGAUAACCUCGGGAAACUGAGAAUAAACCACGAUAGAUCAUAAUGCCUGGAAUGGCUUAUGGUCCAAACAGUUUACUGCCAUGGGAUGGGACUGCGGCCUAUCAGCUUGUUGGUGAGGUAAUGGCCCACCAAGGCGAUUACAGGUACGGGCUCUGAGAGGAGAAGCCCGGAGAUGGGUACUGAGACACGGACCCAGGCCCUAUGGGGCGCAGCAGGCGAGAAACCUUAGCAAUGUGCGAAAGCACGACUGGGUCAGUCCGAGUGAUUCCUGAUAAGGGAGUCUUUUGCUUGUCCUAAAAGCACAGGUGAAUAAGGGGUGGGCAAGUCUGGUGUCAGCCGCCGCGGUAAUACCAGCACCUCGAGUGGUCAGGACGUUUAUUGGGCCUAAAGCAUCCGUAGCCGGCUUUGCAAGUCUUCGGUUAAAUCCACCUGCUCAACAGAUGGGCCGCUGGAGAUACUACAGAGCUAGGGAGUGGGAGAGGCAGACGGUAUUCAGUGGGUAGGGGUAAAAUCCUCUGAUCCAUUGAGGACCACCAGUGGCGAAGGCGGUCUGCCAGAACACGUUCGACGGUGAGGGAUGAAAGCUGGGGGAGCAAACCGGAUUAGAUACCCGGGUAGUCCCAGCUGUAAACGAUGCAAACUCGGUGAUGCAUUGGCUUAUGGCCA